rnacentral:rRNA from 1 species
GGCGGGGUUGGGCGGUCGGGCCAUUGGUCUGGACUGCCGGCGCUGUCUUUACUCUGGGGAGCCCGGGUGCACUUUAGUGUGUGCGCGGGGGAGCCAGACGCUUACCUUGAAAAAAUUAGAGUGUUUAAAGCGGGCGCGUGCUUGAAUACAUUAGCAUGGAAUAAUAGAAUAGGACUUGGGUUCUAUUUUGUUGGUUUCUAGGACUCGAGUA